rnacentral:rRNA from 1 species
GUAGGUGGCAAGCGUUGUCCGGAAUUAUUGGGGCGUAAAGCGCGCGCAGGCGGUUCUUUAAGUCUGAUGUGAAAGCCCACGGGCUCAACCGUGGAGGGUCAUUGGAAACUGGAGAACUUGAGUACAGAAGAGGAAAGCGGAAUUCCACGUGCAGCGGUGAAAUGCGUAGAGAUGUGGAGGAACACCAGUGGCGAAGGCGGCUUUCUGGUCUGUAACUGACGCUGAGGCGCGAAAGCGUGGGGAGCAAACAGGAUUAGAUACCCUGGUAGUCCACGCCGUAAACGAUGAGUGCUAAGUGUUAGGGGGUUUCCGCCCCUUAGUGCUGCAGCUAACGCAUUAAGCACUCCGCCUGGGGAGUACGGCCGCAAGGCUG